rnacentral:snRNA from 1 species
GUUCCUUCGGGGAUAUCCGAUAUAAUUGGAACGAUACAGAGAAAUCUAGCAUGACCCCUGCGCAAGGAUGACACGCACAAAUCGAGAACCAUGAUCAAUACUA